GACGUAGGGCGCGAGCGUUGUCCGGAUUUAUUGGGCGUAAAGAGCUCGUAGGCGGCUUGUUGCGUCGACUGUGAAAACCCGCGGCUUAACUGCGGGCUUGCAGUUGAUACGGGCAGGCUAGAGUUCGGUAGGGGAGACUGGAAUUCCUGGUGUAGCGGUGAAAUGCGCAGAUAUCAGGAGGAACACCGGUGGCGAAGGCGGGUCUCUGGGCCGACAUUGACGCUGAUGAGCGAAAGCUAGGGGAGCAAACGGG
rnacentral:rRNA from 1 species